AAUGGUCAAGUCACAAAAGUUGUAGAGGGUGUACAGGAGGUUAAAAAUGUAUAAUGCACCUCUUGUGCCUGCUUUUGUUGCUACAAGAGUCGCUUUAGGGACUGUGAGUGGCACUUGCAUUUAUUAUAUGUCGAAUGCAUAGCCCUAAUCUCUAAUCAUCAUUCUAGCUUAAUGAUUAAACAAAUUAAAAGUUUCAUAUUUCUAACUUUAUGUCGACUCUACGUAAAAUCAAGACCGCAUAAUCAUGUUUUUUUAUUAACGGGCCGAGCUUAAUCACUACUUUCAAUUAGAAUCGGGAUGCAUGUGCUAUCUUCCACCCCCAGCAUCUGCAAAGGCUCUGAGCGUGGAGGCGGUGGACGACAAGACUCUCUAACUAGUCAUCCUUUGUUCAGGUUUUGUGGUGCCCAUGCAUUGGAAGCUCUUAU
rnacentral:lncRNA from 1 species